rnacentral:rRNA from 1 species
UACGUAGGCAGCGAGCGUUGUUCGGAUUUACUGGGCGUAAAGGGUGUGUAGGCGGUUCUUUAAGUUUGGUGUGAAAUCUCCCGGCUCAACCGGGAGGGUGCGCCGAAUACUGAGGGACUUGGAGUAUGGGAUGGGAAAGUGGAAUUCCUGGUGUAGCGGUGAAAUGCGCAGAUAUCAGGAAGAACACCAAUGGCGAAGGCAGCUCUCUGGGACGGUACUGACGCUGAGACGCGAAAGCGUGGGGAGCGAACAGG